AUUCCAGCUCCAAUAGCGUAUAUUAAAGUUGUUGCAGUUAAAAAGCUCGUAUUUGAAUUUUUGUCUGUUGGGGCCUUGUUCUGUCCUUAGUGGCGGAGUUUAGUGUCCCGACGGACUUCCUGGGGGCCAACUAGUUGGUGUUUCAUUACACUGAUUAGGGAACCCCCUCGUUUACUGUGAAAAAAUUAGAGUGUUUCAAGCAGGCGUUUCGCAUUGAAUACAUUAGCAUGGAAUAAUAAGAUAGGACUUUGGUGCUAUUUUGUUGGUUUGCACACCAAGGUAAUGAUUAAGAGGGACAGUUGGGGGUAUUCGUAUUAUCAUGUCAGAGGUGAAAUUCUUGGAUUUUGGUAAGACGAACUACUGCGAAAGCAUUUACCAAGGAUGUUUUCAUCA
rnacentral:rRNA from 1 species